rnacentral:pre_miRNA from 1 species
AGAGGAAUGGCUGGGGAAAAUGGUGGUUCCAUUCCCAGUUUUCCAAGGGAUGUCCAUACUGCUUUCCAAAUUGGCUGCACCAAUUUGCAGUCCCACCAGCAAU